UACGUAGGGUGCAAGCGUUAAUCGGAAUUACUGGGCGUAAAGCGUGCGCAGGUGGCUUUGCAAGACAGAUGUGAAAUCCCCGGGCUCAACCUGGGAACUGCAUUUGUGACUGCAUGGCUGGAGUGCGGCAGAGGGGGAUGGAAUUCCGCGUGUAGCAGUGAAAUGCGUAGAGAUGUGGAGGAAUACCGAUGGCGAAGGCAGCCUCCUGGGCCAACACUGACGCUCAUGCACGAAAGCGUGGGGAGCAAACAGG
rnacentral:rRNA from 1 species